UUUCCAUUGUCAGUACUGAAAAUUUAUAAUAUGGCCGGUAGUAUUCGUAGUCCGUUCUUAUAUUUAAGAUUGGCAGAAGAAAAAAUCUAAAUUUGAUGGCUCAGUGGGACACAUUGUUGAUUGGUGGGAUUAAAUAAUAGAUCUUUUGGCUAAGUGGCUCAUCAAAAAAUUCCCAGGCAUCGAUGUGAACGGUGUGUCCGAUUAAAAAUUAUAAAGAAAGAAAGAUAAACUGUGAACUAGUACAACCAGUUUAGCAAAAAAGAACAAGUCUAAUAUUUUCAUAUUUUUAAAAUUUGUAAAAAAUACACUGCAAUAUACUGCUUAGCUAUUAGAAAUUACAAGAUUACUAGAUCUAGUUGUUUCUGAUUGCUGAGCGAUUAUCAUUAUUUUAAGAAUUAUUUUACACUUUUACAUAAUCUAUCGGAUAAGUGUUUUACUUUCUGAUAUUUUUUACAAGUUAUAAGAAUAUAAAAGUUUAGGACUCACUCGAAUUUUGUAAUAUUGAUAUGAGAAAAAGAAUGCAAAAAUUAAAUCAAAUUCAACGUUUUAAUCGAUAUAGAUCGAAUGAGUUAUUAACAAGUCACGGUUGCUAUUUUUGAAGACACACAGUAAUAUGAAUGCACGAGGUAAACAUGUAAUUCAUACA